AUGAAUAAGAAUCAUAUGUUCGAUUGCAUCCAAAGCAUUGGCUUGCUUGCUUACUCUUCCAUUUUAAAAAUAAGUGUUGUUUCCGAUGUCAUACACUCUUACUACACUAUUAUUUUUGGACCAGGUUUCAACAUGAACCCUGUGGACCUUCCUUCCAAAGUCAUCCUGGAUGCUAUGUUUGACAAAGUCGGCCUUCCAGCGGCCGCCUACUCUGCACGUGUAGUUCAUCGCGGGUGCCUUGAAGUCACUGUCGCCUUCCAUCCAAUUGCCAGUGAACUGGAGCGUCCUGUUAGUCAGACAUAUAUUUCAACCUCUGCUUUCACUGAUCUGGAAGAAGCGCAGAAUCAUGUUGCGCAUAAAGCCAUGGAAUUCAUGGAGCAGGAACACAGUGUGGUCCCAGGUGAUUAUAACUAUAACAAACUUCAAUCUGCUAGGCUUAAUAACGAGUCACUGCGUGAGCGUCUGAAAGAAAAGGAUCGCAGUAUCGAAACACUGAAAAAGGUCAAUACAUCUCUGGCGCAGCAAUUGGAAGAGAAGAACAACACUCUUGACUCCAUUAUGAAGACAAACAAAGACAUGAUGGAGAAGGUGGCUGAAAGAGAUGAUGUCAUUGAAUCCAUCAAAAAUGUCAAUCAAACACUACUAAAGCAGCUUGGUGAGAAACAAGAUAUAAUAAAGAAGCUCAGCAAAGGCUGGGAUAACUCACUGGAUACCGGAUUUUCAGCAACCAUCCAACUUCAGCGUCUGAUUGACGAGGGCAUGUCCCCUGGAUCAACGCAGGCAGACAUUGAGCUCAAUGCGAGUCUCCAGAAUGCUCAGCACAUAUGUGAGUACCUUGAGCAGAACACCAUCCUUGCUGUUGAGUACCUGCAGUCCAUUGGGACAUAUCCAUAUGACCCAAAGUCAGGCUUUACUGAUGAGGAAGACAAUUGUUCAGUAGACCUCGAGCCCGUGCCACCAGAGAAUCCACCCUACAUGAGAAGCUGGCUGGAUGAUGAGGAGAUCUUUGACAGUGAAGGUAAUUUCUCUACAGACUUCGACACUUUGCCCGAGGAGCACUUCUGA
rnacentral:rRNA from 1 species